UAGUACUUAUUUGGAAUAAGAUUAUUAAAGACAACAUAUUUUACCUUUUGUAUCAGGGGGUGUUAAUAGUAAAAAUUAUUAGAAGAUCUCGAUUUUUGGUGAUUUAAUAGGCUAUUAAUUACUGUAGAAAAAGUAUUAAAAGUUUGUUAGAAGUGAAAAUCUGUCGAUAAAAUUAGUAUCUAGUUAGUAAGUUAAGUCUUUAGGGCUAAGGAAUUUCAUUUCAGUAGAAAGGGUAAGCUUUUUUAAUAAACUAAGGCUAAAAAUUUUAUUAUUUGUUUAGGCUUUAGAUUAGCCAAAAAUUUAAACUGUUACAAGUAAGAUUUAAUUAAAUAUUUUUUUGAGUGAGGUUAAAAAUUUACUUAUUUAUAGCAUAAAAUUUAAAUUAAUAAUGACAUCAUUAGUAAUUAUGAUAAAUUUUUAUAAAUUACUCAAUAUUUGCUUGAUAGUUUAACAAAAACAAUUCUAAUACAGUUAUUAGUAAGACCUGCCCAGUGAUAUUUAAACGGCUGCAGUAUUUUGACUGUGCAAAGGUAGCAAAAUCAUUUGUUUUUUAAUUGGGAGCGGGUAUGAACGGUUAAACAAGUAAAAUAAUUUUAAGAAAUAAGUUAGAAUUUUUAGUUUAAGUAAAAAUACUUAAGUGAUUUAAAGGGACGAUAAGACCCUAAAAUCUUAAAUUUUAUAAAUACGUUAAAGUAAUGGUUAGAAUAUUUGUUAUAGAUAAUUUUAGCUGGGGUAGUUUUUUUAUUUAUAUUAAUAGUUGGAAGAACAUUUUAUGGUUUAAUGGUCUUUUAGAUAAAGAUAAAUAGAAACAGUUACUUUAGGGAUAACAGCGUAAUAUUCUUGAAGAGGUCAUAUUUAUGAGAGUGAUUGCGACCUCGAUGUUGAAUUAAAAUAUCUUUGUGAGGCAAAAGGCACAUAAGAGGGUUUGUUCAACCUUUAAAUUUUUACAUGAUUUGAGUUCAAAUCGGUGUGAGCCAGAUUGGUUUCUAUCUUUUAAUAAAUUUUGUUUUAUCUUAGUACGAAAGGGUUAGUUAAAGUUU
rnacentral:rRNA from 1 species